rnacentral:rRNA from 1 species
GACGAACGCUGGCGGCGUGCUUAACACAUGCAAGUCGAACGGUGAUGACAGGGCUUGCCUUGUCGGAUCAGUGGCGAACGGGUGAGUAACACGCGAGUAACCUGCCCCACACUCUGGGAUACCCCCGGGAAACCGGAGCUAAUACCGGAUAUGACCCUUGCACGCCUGUGCUGGGGGCGGAAAGUUUUUCGGUCUGGGAUGGGCUCGCGGCCUAUCAGCUUGUUGGUGAGGUAGUGGCUCACCAAGGCGACGACGGGUAGCCGGCCUGAGAGGGCGACCGGCCACACUGGGACUGAGACACGGCCCAGACUCCUACGGGAGGCAGCAGUGGGGAAUAUUGCACAAUGGGCGAAAGCCUGAUGCAGCGACGCCGCGUGAGGGAUGACGGCCUUCGGGUUGUAAACCUCUUUCAGCAGGGAAGAAGCGGAAGUGACGGUACCUGCAGAAGAAGCACCGGCUAACUACGUGCCAGCCGCCGCCGUAA